rnacentral:rRNA from 1 species
AUGGUCGUGGAUAAAGAGGUUGCAGCGGCAGCUAACGCGGCGGAUGCGGGAUGCAGAGAGGAAGACGGCCAUGGACGGCGAGGUUGCGGUGGCUGCCGGCCUUUUUCUUGGUGCAGUGGCAGCGGCCAUGGAUGGGGAGGGCGGAGGAUUGGAGGAUCUGGAAGAGGCCGACAGAGAUCCACUUCCUCCCAGGUGGAAGAAAAGUGGCGUCUCGUGGGUGGAUCGAAGGAAACACAAGAAAGAGGGGGAGGUUUCUCUGCCGUUGGAUACGGGAGGAUCGGACGGUGGCUGCCUGCGAUCCGUGGGAGGGUUGGAACAACCAAUCAGAACGUAGGAUUUGCCUCAUGCCAGAUACACGCCUUGUGA